rnacentral:tRNA from 1 species
UGCCUUGUCGUCUAAUGGUAGGACAUUCGUUUCUGGAAUGAGUAACCGUGGUUCGAAUCCACGCGGGGCAGCCA